rnacentral:rRNA from 1 species
UAGGGAAUCUUCCACAAUGGACGCAAGUCUGAUGGAGCAACGCCGCGUGAGUGAAGAAGGUCUUCGGAUCGUAAAGCUCUGUUGUUGGUGAAGAAGGAUAGAGGCAGUAACUGGUCUUUAUUUGACGGUAAUCAACCAGAAAGUCACGGCUAACUACGUGCCAGCAGCCGCGGUAAUACGUAGGUGGCAAGCGUUGUCCGGAUUUAUUGGGCGUAAAGCGAGCGCAGGCGGAAUGAUAAGUCUGAUGUGAAAGCCCACGGCUCAACCGUGGAACUGCAUCGGAAACUGUCAUUCUUGAGUGCAGAAGAGGAGAGUGGAACUCCAUGUGUAGCGGUGGAAUGCGUAGAUAUAUGGAAGAACACCAGUGGCGAAGGCGGCUCUCUGGUCUGCAACUGACGCUGAGGCUCGAAAGCAUGGGUAGCGAACAGGAUUAGAUACCCUGGUAGUCCAUGCCGUAAACGAUGAGCGCUAGGUGUUGGGGACUUUCCGGUCCUCAGUGCCGCAGCAAACGCAUUAAGCGCUCCGCCUGGGGAGUACGACCGCAAGGUUGAAA